CAGUCGCCGCGGUAAAACGGAGGGUGCAAGCGUUAAUCGGAAUUACUGGGCGUAAAGCGCACGCAGGCGGUCUGACAAGUCAGAUGUGAAAUCCCCGGGCUUAACCUGGGAACUGCAUUUGAAACUGUCAGGCUGGAGUCUUGUAGAGGGGGGUAGAAUUCCAGGUGUAGCGGUGAAAUGCGUAGAGAUCUGGAGGAAUACCGGUGGCGAAGGCGGCCCCCUGGACAAAGACUGACGCUCAGGUGCGAAAGCGUGGGGAGCAAACAGGAUUAGAUACCCGGGUAGUCCCUGUCUCUUAUAC
rnacentral:rRNA from 1 species